AAAGAUGACCUUUCUGAUAUUACAAAAAGACAGAGAGAGAAAGAGACAGGUGAGACUAUAGAGAGAGACAUGGGAGGAGAGAGUAAGACAGGUGAAGGUCAACUUUUGCAAAGACCAAACUACCCUAAAUAUAUUUUUUAUCAUCACAUGACUCGCAUGUUUUCGUGUGUGUGUGUGUGUGUGUGUGUGUGUGUGUGUGUGUGUGUGUGUGUGUGUGUGUGUGUGUGUGUGUGUGUGUGUGUGUGUGUGUGUGUGUGUGUGUGUGUGUGUGUGUGUGUGUGUAAAUACAUUUGAAGGGCUGUGGAAUGAAGACAAGAACAGGUUUGUAGCAAACGACAUUCUUUAUAUGAGAGAGAGAGAGAGAGAGAGAGAGAGAGAGAGAGAGAGAGAGAGAGAGAGAGAGAGUGAGUCAGACUGAGUACUUGUAGCAGUAUGCUGCUGGAUUGCCAAGUCGUGGUUCCUCUCAUUCCCUCGCAUACAGAUGGGUGUGUGUGUUGUGGUCAUAGAGAGAAAAAGGAGUGUCUGGCCUGUUAAUGUCUAACUUUCCUUAUUCAACUGUGUGUUGCUUCUGGAUCACUAAGCUGUCUAGAAAUGCACCUGGGUUCAUCUGUUUCUACGUACUUGACGUUCUUUUCUGCAGGCCGUACUGAGAAGGUAAACCUUAAGCCUCCAUCACCAGUGAAACAUCAUCAGUGAAACACCCAGUUCAAGACGUCUUUAAUGUCACCCCCCCAACUGUUUACUGAUACAGUUGCAUACACAUGCAACUGGACACUGUUGGGCCCUGGGAGCCAUGCUCAGUGGAGGAGGAGGUGUUUACCUUGGUGGUUAGGAUGAGGAGGAGUUGUUAACUUCUUGGUUAGGGUGCUGAGUUGUUACCUUAGUGGUAAGGGUGCUGAGGUGUUACCUUAGGUGUUAGGGUGCUGGAGGAGGUGUUUCAUUAGUGGUUAGAGUGAGGAGGUGUUACCUUAGUGGUUAGGGUGCUGGAGAAGGUGUUACCUUAGUGGUUAGGGUGCUGAGGUGUUACCUUAGUGGUUAGGGUGAGGAGGUGAAACCUUAGUGGUUAGGGUGCUGGAGAAGGUGUUACCAUAGUGGUUAGGGUGCUGGAGAAGGUGUUACCAUAGUGGUUAGGGUGCUGAGGUGUUGCCUUAGUGGUUAGGGUGGGGAGGUUUUACCUUAGUGGUUAGGGUGCUGAGGUGUUACCUUAGUGGUUAGGGUGAGGAGGUGAAACCUUCGUGGUUAGGGUGCUGGAGAAGGUGUUACCAUAGUGGUUAGGGUGCUGGAGAAGGUGUUACCUUAGUGGUUAGGGUGCUGAGGUGUUGCCUUAGUGGUUAGGGUGGGGAGGUGUUACCUUAGUGGUAAGGAUGCGGAGGAGGUUUUACCUUAGUGGUUAGUGUGCUGAGGUGUUACCUUAGUGGUUAGGGUGAGGAGGUGAAACCUUAGUGGUUAGGGUGCUGGAGAAGGUGUUACCAUAGUGGUUAGGGUGCUGAGGUGUUACCUUAGUGGUUAGGGUGAGGACAUUUUACCUUAGUGGGGUGUUUUUGUGUAUAUAUAUGCUGAUUAUUUUGCAUUCAAAUAUUUCCUUUAUCUCUCUUCUCUUCAAUAGAACUAUUCAUACCAGCAGUCUGUGUGUCUGUGUGUGUGUGUGUGUGUGUGUGUGUGUGUGUGUGUGUGUGUGUGUGUGUGUGUGUGUGUGUGUGUGUGUGUGUGUGUGUGUGUGUGUCUGUGUGUGUGUG